rnacentral:lncRNA from 12 species
UUUUCCCUCUGCCACUACGAUCAGAUUCCUCCUGUGUCUGAUGGUUGCCCUGCAGCUAUGAGUGGCUGGCUGAGAGGGACAUGCUGCUGGGACAGGCAGCAGCUGCCUGCAAAGGCUGCACUCUGGAAAUACUGUGCCUUCCGUGGAAAUGGUCAAAUAAAGACAUUUAUGGAAAUGCAGGAUGGAGAAGGAGGAAGGGAGAAAGAAAACAAAAUCAAGAGUGAGCAGAAACUCCAAUAAAUGAGAAAAGCAGGGAACAGAACUACUAUAAAAGUCUCAGACUGGAAGGACAGAAAAUAUUCUCUUGGGCUUGGAGAGUGGACUGUGCAUAAUCUGCAGACCUGCAGAGCUGCCAUACUGUGACCAUGCACAGACAAAAAGACCUGGCAUCUUACAUCAGCAUGAGGCAGUGGAUGUUCACC